rnacentral:rRNA from 1 species
GACGAACGCUGGCGGCGUGCUUAACACAUGCCAGUCGAACGGAAAGGCCUGCUUUCCCUUGUGGAUUGCGGGUACUCGAGUGGCGAACGGGUGAGUAACACGUGAGUGAUCUGCCCCCAACUUGGGUAUAAGCCUGGGAAACUGGGUCUAAUUCCCGAUAGGACUGCAGGGUGGUGCCUGUGGUGGAAAACGAUUUUCUAGUGGUUGGGGAUGAGCUCGCGGCCUAUCAGCUUGUUGGUGGGGUAAUGGCCUACCAAGGCGGCGACGGGUAGCCGGCCUGAGAGGGUGGACGGACACAUUUGGACGGAGAGACGGCCCAGACUACCAAGGGAGGCAGCAGUGGGGAAUAGUGCACAAUGGGAGGAAGCAUGAUGCAGCGACGCCGCGUGAGGGAUGACGGCCUUCGGGUUGUAAACUCCUUUCGACAGCGAGGAAGCCACCUGGUUGGAAGGGUGGUGACGGUAGUGGUAGAAGAAGCACCGGCUAACUACGUG